GAUCUCUGAAUUUGGGUCUGAUCUCUGAAAUUGAAUCUGAUCUCUGAAUUUGGGUCUGAUCUCUGAAAUUGGGUCUGAUCUCUGAAUGACAAAAGUUCCUCAUUUUCAUUCACCCCUAUCAUUUGGGUACUCUUAAAGCUCAGGCAAAUGGGAAUUAACAUCCAAGUCCUUUGCAAUAUUCAAAUUAUUAUUACCGGUAACCAAAUUCUCAAAAUAUUCACUGUAAGAACAUCUCUUCUUACUUUUU
rnacentral:lncRNA from 1 species